rnacentral:rRNA from 1 species
UACAGAGGUCCCGAGCGUUGUUCGGAUUCACUGGGCGUAAAGGGUGCGUAGGUGGCUUUGCAAGUCUGAUGUGAAAUCUCCAGGCCCAACCUGGAAACUGCAUUAGAAACUGUGAGGCUGGAGGCUUGGAGGGGGAACUGGAAUUCUCGGUGUAGCAGUGAAAUGCGUAGAUAUCGAGAGGAACACCAGUGGCGAAGGCGAGUCCCUGGACAGAUCCUGACGCUGAGGCACGAAAGCUAGGGGAGCAAACAGG